AGUGAACGCUGGCGGUAGGCCUAACACAUGCAAGUCGAACGGCAGCACAGUAAGAGCUUGCUCUUACGGGUGGCGAGUGGCGGACGGGUGAGGAAUACAUCGGAAUCUACUUUUUCGUGGGGGAUAACGUAGGGAAACUUACGCUAAUACCGCAUACGACCUACGGGUGAAAGCAGGGGAUCUUCGGACCUUGCGCGAUUGAAUGAGCCGAUGUCGGAUUAGCUAGUUGGCGGGGUAAAGGCCCACCAAGGCGACGAUCCGUAGCUGGUCUGGGGGGAUGAUCAGCCACAUUGGAAGUGAGCCACGGUCCAGACUCCUACGGGAGGCCGCAGUGGGGAAUAUUGGACAACGGGCGCAAGCCUGAUCCAGCCAUACCGCGUGGGUGAAGAAGGCCUUCGGGUUGUAAAGCCCUUUUGUUGGGAAAGAAAAGCAGCAGGUUAAUACCCCGCUGUUCUGACGGUACCCAAAGAAUAAGCACCGGCUAACUUCGUG
rnacentral:rRNA from 1 species